UGCCAGUAGCCGCGGUAAUACGAAGGGGGCGAGCGUUAUUCGGAAUUAUUGGGCGUAAAGCGCGCGUAGGUGGUCUGUUAAGUCGGAUGUGAAAGCCCCGGGCUCAACCUGGGAACUGCAUCCGAUACUGGCAGACUAGAGUGCGGGAGAGGGAGGUAGAAUUCCACGUGUAGCGGUGAGAUGCGUAGAUAUGUGGAGGAAUACCAGUGGCGAAGGCGGCCUCCUGGCUCGACACUGACACUGAGGUGCGAAAGCGUGGGUAGCGAACAGGAUUAGAUA
rnacentral:rRNA from 1 species